CAUGUAUGGAUAAUUUGGGGAUUCUUCCUGUUCAGAAACUUUAACAUUUACCACAUCUAGUCACAGAGAAACAGACAGAGAUAAAGACGAACACCAGGCAGAGACAACAACGUCACUAGAACGUGGAAGGAAAAGUACGGUAAAUCUAUCAGAAGAAUCAGAUAUUGUUGAAGAUGUCUGAGGCCAUCUAUGCAAACACACAGAUGAACAACAAGGUUGAGACUGACAGAGGAGAGAUGGAGGAGAUGGUGGUUGAUAUCUACGACAGUUCAGACACCCUGAGAGAUGAAGACACCAGAACCACAACACAAGAGACAGAAGACACUGAUCUACAUAAUGUACCAGGAGACCUGAACUCAGGUAACACACACCAAAUAUACACACACAUCACAAAAAUACACCACACAUACACACACACUACAUAUACUCGCAGGAUUUGUCCAGCAAAUCCUGCAGAUGCUCAGUUGGAAUGAGAUCGGGGGAAUUUGGAGUCCAAGUUAACACCUUGAACUCAUUGUUGUGUUCCUCAAACUGUUCUUGAACUAUUUUUGCUUUGUGGGCACAUUAUUCUUCUGAAGAGGCCAAUGCCAUCAGGGAAUACCGUUGCCAUGAAAGGGUGCACAUGGUCUGUAACAAUGCUCAGGUAGGUGCUACGUCUCAAAGUAACAUCCACAUGAAUGGCAGGACACAAACUUUCCCAGUAGAACAUUGCUUAAAGCAUCACAAUGCCUCCGCCGGCUUGUCUCCUUCCCAUAGUGCAUCCUGGUGCCAUGUGUUUUCCAGGUAAGCGACACACGCACUCUGCCAUCCACAUGAUGUAAAAGGAAACGUGACAUCAGAACAGACCACCUUCUUCCAUUCCUCUGUGGUCCAGUUCGGAUGCUCACAUGGCCAUUGUAGGCAUUGUGUGUUCUGACACCUUUCUAUCAGAACCAGCCUUAACUUUUUCAGAAAUUUGAGCAACAGUAGCUUGUCUGUUGGAUUGGACCACACGGGCCAGCCUUCGCUCCCCACUUGCCUUGGCCGUGACCCUGUAGCUGGUUCACCGCUUUUCCUUCCUUGGACCACUUUUGAUAGGUACUGACCACUACAGACUGGAAAAACCCACAAGGGCUGCAGUUUAGGAGAUGCUCUGACCCAGUCAUCUAGCCAUCACAAUUUGGCCCUUGUCAAAGUCGCUCAGAUCCUUACGCUUGGCCAUUUUUCCUGCUUCUAACACAUAAACUUUGAGGACAGAAUGUUCACUUGCUGCCUAAUAUAUCCCACCCACUGACAGGUGCCAUGAUAAUGAGGUUAUCAGUGUUAUUCACUACACCUGUUAGUGUUCAUAAUGUUAUGUUUGAUCGGUGUAUGUUAUGUGUCCACAGAGUCUGAUAACUCAGGGAAGAUAUUCAGAGUUACUACAGUGUGUCUGGGGCUGCUGUGUGUUCUCCUACUGACUGCGAUCAUAGUCCAGUCUGUCUACUAUAACAUAACCAUCAAAGAUUCUGUGAAGAAAUGGAACAACUUGUUACAGAGUUUUUCUCUUUAUAAGACCAAUGCAACUACAGAGAUAGACUAGCUACAGACAAAGCUCUCUGUAAUUG
ensembl:lncRNA